rnacentral:rRNA from 1 species
AAGCAAAGCCGCGAGGCGGAGCGAAUCCCCAAAAGGCGUCUCAGUUCGGAUUGCAGGCUGCAACUCGCCUGUAUGAAGUCGGAAUUGCUAGUAAUCGUGGAUCAGCAUGCCACGGUGAAUACGUUCCCGGGCCUUGUACACACCGCCCGUCACACCAUGAGAGCCGGGAACACCCGAAGUCCGUAGUCUAACCUAUAUGGAGGACGCGGCCGAAGGUGGGUUUGGUAAUUGGGGUGAAGUCGUAACAAGGUACC